AGGUGUGUGAAGAGUCCUUAUCUUCCAGGAUAGAGAUGAUGAGUGUGGGAGUCAGUACAGAGCCCUGCCAUGUCAGGUGGGAGCUAGAGACAGAUGCAACUGUCCUACAGCGGCGGCAAAAGCAAAUAGAUUAUGGCAAGCGAACACCUGGUUACCAGUGCUUUCUGCAGCAGGUCCCCAAGGCACAGCGACAGCCAGGACUUCACCCUCAGACACCAAACAAGAACAGGAGGUACAGCCGUCGCUCCUGGGAUGCCCAGAUCAGGAAGUGGAGAAGAGCCCUACAUUCCUGGGACCCUCCCAGCCAGCCUCUGCAGGUUGAGGGGUGUGGAAUGGACAAUCUCUUAGAGCCAACGAAUUCCACCCCUUUGGAUGACUGGCUCCAGGCCCUGGAACCCUCAGAGAAUCAGGAUGAAGACUAGGAGGGAGCCCAGUUUGCAGAUUUGGUCGCUCCUGCCUUCUCUGUCUUUCUGAGGAAGAUUCCCACCACUGGCUCUACCUUUGAGCUGGUCACGAUUACUUAUCUGUCCCAGACUUCAGUGGUGCAUAAAAUAUUUAGGGAAAACGUGUCUUUUAGGGGACUUCUUGCUGAAUGUAAUAGUGAAGAUUACUUGCAGUACUUCUGCUUUCCAAUUGAUUAAAAAUCUAAAACUCCGUCCCACAACGUGAUCAUAACACGAAGGCAUUGUUUAAAACCUCUUCUUUCCCCAUGUUUUACCCUCUGUCUAAACCUUCUUUGAUAGCUGAUACUCAAAUUUACUUAAGAGCCAGAAACCACCUAGCUGUUCCACAACCUCUUCACCUACCAACUGCUACAUUCAGUCUCUUCAAAAAGGACUUAAACUUUGGCUGAGUAGGAGGCAGUGGUAGCGAUGGAGAUUUAAUAAAAGGUGGUUUCCUCUCCCUGAAGAGGAAUAUAGCACUAUCAAUAUCGUUUCCCCCAGCGACCUGUUUCCUCCCUCCCAGAAAGGUUUAAAGGGGUCCAGCUGCAACUACCGUACUUUCCCCUCUCCCCCCUCCCCCACGCAAGCAACUGAACCGCCUAUGAUGUCAUAAUCACAAUCCCAUUACCUCAUCCUGCUGGGGGUGGGGGCAUAGAGGGAGGAGAAGGAGUGAACAGCCCUGAGCCCUCGUCGGAUUUACAGUAUUUUGAGUGACAGCUAACUACACAACCAAGUGGGAACGGCCCGCAACCAUUACAGGUCCUGGGUUUAUAAGGUUCGAGCCGAUCCGGCAGCUGGAAGAGGGGCUCCUGGGACUCAGAGCAGGCCCUAAUCGCCGCUUGGACUACGCCUCCCAGAAGCCUUCACGACGCGGACGGGUCCUCUGCUGGGGGAAGGGGGAUUCCUUCAGAGCCCGAGGCCGUAGAGAGUGGGGGCAGGAGAACAGACUCAGCAGGCAUGACUGGAGAGGGAAGUCCUAAUGGUGCUAGAAUGGUGCUGCAGUGGCAGAAGACGGCUCACGAGUGAGGUCUGGAAGAACAACAGGGAAGACAUCCAUCAUUCGCUCCAAAGUGUGCAAGUCAAAUCCCGGGGAGAAUCAUGAUAACCCUGAUCACUGAGCAGCUACAGAAGCAGACUCUGGAUGAGCUGAAAUGCACACGCUUCAGCAUCAGUCUGCCUUUGCCUGAUCAUGCAGACAUCUCCAACUGUGGGAACCCUUUCCAGCUUGUGUCUGAAGGUGCUUCCUGGAGGGGCCUGCCCCACUGUUCCUGUGCCGAGUUCCAGGAUAGCCUCAACCUCAGCUACCACCCCUCAGGCUUGAGCCUGCACCUCAGACCACCCAGCCCGGGAAGUUCCCCACAGGAGCAGUCCCUCUCCCAAGUCCUAAGCCCUGAGCCCCCAGACCCAGAAAAGCUUCCUGUGCCCCCUGCCCCUCCAUCUAAGAGGCACUGCCGCUCACUCUCAGUGCCCGUGGACCUGUCUCGCUGGCAGCCAGUGUGGCGGCCCGCCCCCUCCAAGCUGUGGACUCCCAUCAAGCACCGGGGCAGUGGUGGAGGGGGUGGGCCGCAGGUGCCUCACCAGAGCCCCCCGAAGCGGGUCUCCAGCCUCAGGUUCCUCCAAGCUCCCAGUGCCUCUUCUCAAUGUGCCCCAGCCCACAGACCCUACAGCCCCCCUUUCUUCAGCCUGGCCCUAGCCCAAGAUUCCUCUCAUCCCUCUGCCGCUUCCCCGCAAAGUGGCUCCUGGGAGAGUGAUGCUGAGUCCCUGUCACCUUGCCCACCCCAACGCCGCUUCUCCCUGUCACCCAGCCUGGGCCCACAGGCAAGCCGCUUCUUGCCCUCUGCCCGGAGCUCCCCUGCAUCCUCCCCAGAGCUGCCCUGGCGACCUCGAGGCCUGCGCAAUCUUCCCCGAAGCCGCUCACAGCCUUGUGAUCUUGAUGCCCGCAAAGCUGGGGUCAAGCGGCGCCACGAGGAGGACCCUCGGCGGCUGCGGCCUUCCUUGGACUUUGACAAGAUGAAUCAGAAACCAUACUCAGGAGGUCUCUGUCUCCAAGAAACAGCCCGGGAAGGCAGCAGUAUCUCUCCACCAUGGUUCAUGGCCUGCAGCCCCCCACCCCUCUCUGCUUCCUGCAGCCCCAUUGGGGGUUCCUCCCAGGUGCUGAGUGAAAGCGAAGAGGAAGAGGAGGGGGCCGUGCGGUGGGGGCGGCAGGCGCUGAGCAAGCGGACACUGUGCCAGCAGGACUUUGGGGACCUGGACUUGAAUCUGAUUGAGGAGAACUAAAACUGAGAGGCUACUUCCUGGGGCUACACAGACUGACUCUCUUACGGCUACUAACAAGUGUCGAGGUCCCAAGGCCGGGGGCCCAGCCUGGGAAUGGGGGUGAAUGGAGGGCUCCGACUCAGGGCAGCCGGAAAUCUUCUCGCUCCAGGAAGCUCGACCAUGCCAAGAGACUGGCCGGGACAAGAUAAACGGAGCUGGUGGCGGGAGGGACAGCCCCAGAGCAGACCCUUCCCAUGGCGGCCCUGAGUAUUGCCAAGGCUGGAUACAACUUGCCUGUCUCUUUCACUAAGUAGAUGCAAGCACAUGUGGGCAAUUAAGGCAGGGCUGAAGGGCUCCAUCUCUUUCUUUCCCUCCCUACUGAUGGGACCUCUUUUCCCUCUUACUUUCUGCCCUUUGAGGGUCAAGAAGAAGGAAGGAAGCCCCUGUAUGGAGGCUGACCUGCAGCAGAAGUAGUGUUCAGUCCCCAGCAGGCAUAGGUGAGUGCACCCCAGCACUGCCCUUUAGAAGCAGACUGUAGAGAAACUCGUUAUCAGAUCCAGGCCUAGCCAUUUUUUCUGAGUUGGUUGAGAAAGAGGAAGGGGAUGUCAGCAUUUACUAGUUUGCUUGUCUUCCACUCCUGCCAGGAAAUGUUUAUUUGCCUCUAAUUGGCCCUUAGAGACCUCUGAGAGGUUGAGGCUCACUGAGGGAUUGGCUGAAGAUGCGUAAAGCAGACUGUGAGAAGCAGCUGGGAGUUUGUUGUUGCUGGAUUGAAUUUCUUUUAUUGUUUCACACCCACAACUUGUACCCAGGCAACAGGUCUCAGUGGCCACACUGAUGGGUUUAAGAAUUUCAGAAGCUCUAUAGAGCUGGUUCCAGGGGAGAUACAUGCUGAAGCUGCCGCCAUAAUGGCUUUUGAGGCUUUGUCCAGCUUUGCUUAGACCCUGCAGGACCAAAUUGGACCUGCCCUUCCUGUUUACUGGAAGAAGGGCAUUUUCCCAGGGUUUUGUAGGAACCAAUUGCUCAUGUUAGGGAAGAGGACCUAUGUGUUUUCUUCCUUAUGGAAUUGAACCUGUGGUUUUCUGGGUCUCCCACAUGUUGGAUAGGAGCAUCAGUGAGGCCCUAGCAUCCUGGCCUCCACUCCCGAGGAGAUGGCUAUGUCUUCUUCAGCCUCCUGCCUUUAGACUAAGGUUCUGCCCCUCCAGGACUCCUUCCCUUCAUCUGCUAGUUAGCACGAGUUACCAGUGAGCUACCAGGUCUGUAGGGGCCUGAGAGAGGUUCUCUGGAGAAUCCAAGGAAACUGUGAGCCCAGGAGUUGCCCCUCCUUGGUCUUAUCCCUCCCUUGGCUGUUCUCCCUCUUUAGGCCAUAAUUUCCCUGGUGCCAGCUUCUUUUCCUCCUGGGGCAUCCUCAUCCCUGGGCUCUCUGCUGCAGAUUGUGCCAGCUUACAAUAGGCCACUGGUAAUGUCAGGGGUUCUCUGCAGGCCCAAAGCUGAAGAAGUGAGGGCAAUAAUUUCUGCCUCCACCCUGGCUUCCUCAAAGCCCUAAGGGCACCAUCCCUAAGGGAGAAGGUCUAUAGAUGCCAUAUUUGAAUUCCAUUACUUUAAGAUCUGGAAAGUUAAACUAGCUGGAGCUAUUGUUUUGCUUCCUAAUCUAAGUACCUGUGGUCCUUGGACAAGCCUUUUCAAGAAGUGGUUUAUUUUGCUUUACACGGUAGAUCUGUUCCAACAGUUCUGUAUAAACCAAAUGCUAUUUUUCAAAGCAUUUGGACUGCUGACCAUUUAAAAGCAGCCUGUGAUUGCUUCUUUUGUAAAGCAAGCAACCUCCCUCUACUUUAGCUGUUUUGACAAUUUGGAUUUUCACAUAUUGGGCUUACCCAGAGUGGAACACACCUCUGCAGUGGUUGGCCCUGGGUAGACAUCUGCAUCUGUGUUGUGUGUGUGGUGUGGCUGAUCAGUAGGUGAGUAUUCCUGCGUGUGUGAGUGAAGCCACUCCCAGGCUGGUGCUCUCCUCCUGUGCCCGGUGACUGCCCACUGGCAGCUCCAGCUGCCCUUCACUCCCACCUGCUGCCAAAGUCCCUGUGCUAAUGGGAUUACAAAUAUAAAAAGUGGAAAAAAAUUUUUCGUAAACUUUGUUUUAUAUUAAAAAAAAAUCCAUAAGUCUGUGUGUGUUAAACAUGAGGUCCUGCCUCUGUGGCUGUGUUUGAAAAAAUAAAGUUUUAUUAGAAUAAUCCAUUUUCCCAAGCAA